GACGAACGCUGGCGGCGUGCCUAAUACAUGCAAGUCGACCUUAGUGGCGAACGGGUGAGUAACCCGUUGGUAACCUGCCCAUCAGAAGGGGAUACCACUUGGAAACAGGUGCUAAUACCGUAUACUGAUGGAUGGCCCCUCGGUGCAUUAGCUAGUUGGUGAGGUAACGGCUCACCAAGCCCACGAUGCAUAACCGACCGUAGAGGGUGAUCGGCCACAUGGGGACUGAGAAACGGCCCAAACUCCUACGGGAGGCAGCAGUAGGGAAUCUUCGGCAAUGGACGAAAGCCUGACCGAGCAACGCCGCGUGAGUGAAGAAGGUUUUCGGAUCGUAAAACUCUGUUGUUAGAGAAGCGGUAUCUAACCAGAAAGCCACGGCUAACUACGUGCCAGCCGCCGCGGUAAUAC
rnacentral:rRNA from 1 species